CAUGCAAGUCGAGCGGAGAAGGGAGCUUGCUCCCGGAUUCAGCGGCGGACGGGUGAGUAACACCUGGGAAUCUGCCUGGUAGUGGGGGAUAACGUCCGGAAACGGGCGCUAAUACCGCGUACGUCCUACGGGAGAAAGCAGGGGAUCUUCGGACCUUGCGCUAUCAGAUGAGCCCAGGUCGGAUUAGCUAGUAGGUGAGGUAAUGGCUCACCUAGGCGACGAUCCGUAACUGGUCUGAGAGGAUGAUCAGUCACACUGGAACUGAGACACGGUCCAGACUCCUACGGGAGGCAGCAGUGGGGAAUAUUGGACAAUGGGGGCAACCCUGAUCCAGCCAUGCCGCGUGUGUGAAGAAGGUCUUCGGAUUGUAAAGCACUUUAAGUUGGGAGGAAGGACGCCAGGCUAAUAUCCUGACGUUUUGACGUUACCGACAGAAUAAGCACCGGCUAACUCUGUGCCAGCAGCCGCGGUAAUACAGAGGGUGCAAGCGUUAAUCGGAAUUACUGGGCGUAAAGCGCGCGUAGGUGGUUCAGUAAGAUGGGUGUGAAAUCCCCGGGCUCAACCUGGGAACUGCUUUCAUAACUGCUGAGCUAGAGUACGGUAGAGGGUAGUGGAAUUUCCUGUGUAGCGGUGAAAUGCGUAGAUAUAGGAAGGAACACCAGUGGCGAAGGCGACUACCUGGACUGAUACUGACACUGAGGUGCGAAAGCGUGGGGAGCAAACAGGAUUAGAUACCCUGGUAGUCCACGCCGUAAACGAUGUCAACUAGCCGUUGGGAACCUUGAGUUCUUAGUGGCGCAGCUAACGCACUAAGUUGACCGCCUGGGAGUACGGUCGCAAGAUUAAAACUCAAAUGAAUUGACGGGGGCCCGCACAAGCGGUGGAGCAUGUGGUUUAAUUUCGAAGG
rnacentral:rRNA from 1 species